UUAAAGACUAUGAUUGGAAAGAGUAGGAAGCCAUACCUUCAAAGAGAGCAGAGUUUGGUGGGAGUCUGCAGGGUUAACUUUUGAAAAUCAUCCAUGAGUUGCAUCCUGAAACGUUAAAAUCUUAAAGUAAGUAAGGAGUGCCGGUUAAAGCCGUUAUUUAACAAGUGAUUACUAUAUUUUAUUUUGUAUGGUGAUAAUUUGGGUGGAACCGCGUGAGUAAAUUACCCUCUCGUCCCUUAU
rnacentral:ncRNA from 1 species